AUUGAACGCUGGCGGCAGGCCUAACACAUGCAAGUCGAGCGGAUGAAGGGAGCUUGCUCCUGGAUUCAGCGGCGGACGGGUGAGUAAUGCCUAGGAAUCUGCCUGGUAGUGGGGGAUAACGUCCGGAAACGGGCGCUAAUACCGCAUACGUCCUGAGGGAGAAAGUGGGGGAUCUUCGGACCUCACGCUAACAGAUGAGCCUAGGUCGGAUUAGCUAGUUGGUGGGGUAAAGGCCUACCAAGGCGACGAUCCGUAACUGGUCUGAGAGGAUGACCAGUCACACUGGAACUGAGACACGGUCCAGACUCCUACGGGAGGCAGCAGUGGGGAAUAUUGGACAAUGGGCGAAAGCCUGAUCCAGCCAUGCCGCGUGUGUGAAGAAGGUCUUCGGAUUGUAAAGCACUUUAAGUUGGGAGGAAGGGCAGUAAGUUAAUACCUUGCUAUUUUGACGUUACCAACAGAAUAAGCACCGGCUAACUUCGUG
rnacentral:rRNA from 1 species